CUAGCCCUCCUCUCGUUCCUCGCUCAGAUUAGGGUAAAAUCCCCAAACCCUAACUUCUUUCUACACAUACCUUCUGUGUCUCUCUACCCCAAUAGCUGACGGCGCGUGGGAUCGAUUGAUGGCGCGUGUGGGUCACGCCUAGGCCGAUUCAUGGUGCCUGGUCCAUCACCUGCAUUGAGAAUCCCUAGCCGGAGCUCAGCUGGAACCCUACCCGAGGACGAAGCUUCGAAAACCGUACAGCUAUGGCAUCCGCCGUCUUAGCGAACCGGAACGAACCCAAUUGGCCGCAGCAGCCCCGAGGUGGAGGAGCCGGAGCCGGAGGAUUCAUGGGGAAGGUCCCCUUUUCUUCUUCAAACAGUCACCGUAACCCUAACCCUAACAAGCGACAAUUCAAAGCUGACCGCCCCGAUUUCAACGAUGAGUCGCCGGCCGUCACCCAGACAGCCUCAGACGAUGCGUCGUCGAUCAACCACCAUCGCCGAUCAAACACAAACGACAUGAAUUUCGCACAGGCCCAAUACGUCAGCUUCAACAUCGCGAGCUGUUCGAGAAAGGAGCUGGUGGAGCUAAAGGGCCGUCUUCUCUCGGAGCUAGACCAGAUUCGCAUUCUCAAGAAUCGAAUCGAAGCCGGCGACUUCAACCCUAAGCCGCCCCACAAGAAGCCCAUCGGCAACAAGAAGAUUGUUGGGUCGAAACGACCUUUGCCGAUUGCUCACGGAAAGGAAUCAAAUUCCAAUUCCAAGCGGUCUCAUUUGGAGAAUGGGAAUUUGAUGAAAAAUUGUGGCUUGAUUUUGUCCAAGCUGAUGAAGCACAAGCACGCAUGGAUCUUCAACAAGCCAGUCGACGUUGUGACUAUGGGGCUUCACGAUUACUACGACAUAAUCAAAAAUCCCAUGGAUCUUGGCACCGUGAAGACGAAUCUCGCCAAGAGUAUCUAUUCUUCGCCGUUCGAUUUCGCUGCAGAUGUGAGAUUGACUUUCGAGAAUGCCAUGCGGUACAAUCCCCAAGGGCACGAGGUCUAUGGGUUUGCCGAUCUGCUUCGAUUGAGGUUUGAGGAGUUGUUUCAGCCUCUGAAUGAGAAAUCGGGAGAUGGGUUUCGGUCGGAAAAGGGUUCCGAUGAGGAAUUGCAGGCGAGUUCUUGGAACCAUGUUGAGCCGGAGAGGGUUCCGAAGAGGGAGACACCUGUACGGAUCGAGAAAAAGCCUGAGUUGGUUCGGCCUCCCCCAGUUCGAGCGCCGCCGGUUCAGGCCCCAGUGAGCUCAUCGAACCCAGACCCAGCAUUGGUGCAAUCGUCACCGGUACGGAAGAAUUCACAGGUGAAGGGCCCAGGUGUGAAGCCGUUGAAGCAGCCGAAACCCAAGGCUAAGGACCCAAAUAAGAGGGAGAUGAGUAUGGAGGAGAAGCACAAGUUGGGAGUUGGGUUGCAGAGUUUGCCUCAGGACAAGAUGGAGCAGGUUGUGCAGAUUAUAAAGAAGAGGAAUGGGCAUUUGAAGCAGGAUGGGGAUGAGAUUGAGCUUGACAUUGAGGCUGUUGAUACAGAGACCCUUUGGGAGCUUGAUCGGCUUGUGACCAAUUGGAAGAAGAUGGUUAGCAAGAUUAAGCGGCAAGCAUUGAUGGGCAACAACAAAAGCAACAGCAAUAGCAACAUUGCUUCCAACAGAGGCCACGAGGAAUUACCUGUAAGUGAGAAAGUUGAUGUUGCAGCAACUACAGAGCCAAAGAGGGCAAAGAAAGGUGAAGCAGGAGACGAAGAUGUGGACAUUGGUGAUGACAUGCCAAUGAGCAGCUUUCCACCAGUUGAGAUUGAGAAAGAUGUUGGGGGAGGCCAUGCCAGUAGUGAUAGCUCAAGUAGCUCCAGCAGUUCCAGCAGUGGUUCCUCCUCAUCAAGCGAUUCGGAUUCUGGUAGUUCAUCAGGGAGUGACUCAGAUGAUGAUAAUGCUCAGUCCUAGUUGUGCGUUCUGCAUUGAAUUGAAGGACAUUGGAGAGAAGACCAAUGUGGGGGAAGCUGGCUGGAGAGCAUGCUUUCCAUGUGGGAAGGGCCUUUUGAAUGUUUAGUGGAUCGUGUUGAUGAGGUCUCAGAACUAAGCAAAAGUGAAUUUGUGAACUUUGUUGUGUGGUGGUUCUUGCUUGCAAAUUGGAAGUGAGCAUUGGUUGUUUUGCUUGGAGGUGUAAAAAAAAUUGUGAAAUGAUGAAAAAAUUGUUGUAGGUGAAGUAGGUAGUGAAACAGAGUAGUGGAAAGAAGAGAGUUAGUAAGAGAAGUUUAGAGAUUUGAAACACUUUGUACACAAUUUACAGAGAGAGCUAGUACAUAAUUUUCCCCAAUUACAGAUGCUCUUGUGCC